GGGGAGGUGCCAGAGUGGACGAUUGGGGCCGCCUGCUAAGUGGUUGUCGGGUAAGACCGACCCAGGGUUCGAAUCCCUGCCUCUCCG
rnacentral:tRNA from 1 species